rnacentral:rRNA from 1 species
AUUGAACGCUGGCGGCAGGCCUAACACAUGCAAGUCGAGCGGAGCGGCGGAGGGGUAAGUAAGGCCUAGGAAUCUGCCUGGGAGUGGUGGAUAACGUUCGCUAACGGGAGCGAAUACUGAUUACUAUCAGAUUCGCCUAGGUCCGAUUGGCUAGUUGGUGGGGUAACGGCCUACCAAGGCGACGAUCCGGAACUGGUCUGAGAGGAUGAUCAGUCACACUGGAACGGAGCCACGGUCCAGACUCCUACGGGAGGCAGCAGUGGGGAAUAUUGGACAAUGGGCGAAAGACUGAUGCAGCCAUGCCGCGUGUAUGAAGAAGGUCUUCGGAUUGUAAAGCACUUUAAGUUGGGAGGCGUUACCCGCAGAAUAAGCACCGGCUAACUUCGUGCCAGCAGCCGCGGUAAUAC